GGUAAUAUGCCUGAUUAAAGGGAUAUUUUGAUGAAAUAUUAAUGUAAUUUUAUUUACUAUUACUU
rnacentral:tRNA from 1 species